AAGGGCGGGAUGGAGUUGAACUGGGCGGGGCGGGGCGGAGCUGGGCGAAAGGGGAGGGGAGGGGCCUGACAGAUGUGGUCCAACCCAGCUCUGUGGCUGGACUGAGGCCCUGUGAGUAAGCCUGACAAGCUCCCAGAGCCUCAGUGUUCUCAUCUGCAAAAGGGCACACUAACCUGCUUUACAGGGUUGCUGGCAGAUAAAAUAGGCUAACAAAGCACCUGGUGGGGCACCCAGUGGGGCCCAGUUAAAGAGGAGCUCAUGAUAAUUAGAUGGUUUCAACUUUCCAACAGGUAGGUUUCCAAAAGUUCAAUUAUGUGGAGGCUUCUGGCACUUUCUAAGAGAAACAGUUACAGGUAGAGGUUGAAGUCUAAGAUUUCCCCUGGAGGUCUUCUUAACCUUAGAGUCUCUAUGAUGAGUACUGUGGGGGUGUUGUGAACCACCAUUUCUGAUCCCGCACGAUGCCGUCCAUUUGCACCAGCACAUCCACUGAUGAGUGGUCACAAAAUCAGCAGGGUCGGCCUGGGGCACCUGGCUCCAUCCCUGGGGUCUGCACGCUAAGAAGGCUCUCCCGGAUGUCUGUGCUGGGGUCCCACAGCAGCAUGUUUAUGUCUCUGGAAGGAGUGUGGUCAUCCAGCGCCCAGGCAGAGAUUUCAGCUUGACUAUCAGCUCUUGGGAGAGGCCUUUCUUCAUCAACUUCCUGGAAAACCACUGUCUCUGGAUCACACACCCCAUUUAUCAGGUCAGAGCCUCAUCACAGUUUCAGACUAUCUGAGUGAUGUGUAUUUGCUGCCGAUGUGACUAUUCACACUACAUAUACGCUCAGGAGGGAGGACAGGGAUGGCCUUUUCACCACCAUGUACCUCCUCAGUACCAGCAACAGUGUACAAUGUGCAGCACAGAUGCCAGGCGUCAUCUGCAGAAUGAGUGUGAGAACAUAUGCUCACCAAGCCUCCACUCUGCCAGAUACGGGGCUAAGUCCUGCAGACACAAGGACCAGCAGUCCCUGACUUCCACAGCCUCUGUCCUGGGGCCCAAACAGAUACCCAAGAUAGCAGUGUGGUGAUAGGGUCACCAUGACACCAGCCUUCCUCCCUAAGCUGUUAAGUGCAGCUAAUUGCUAUUGACCAGAUGCAAGAAACCACCUUCCCUGUGAAGUAAGGCUGUCCCUGAGUGCCCAGUCUGGAAUUCCCCAGACAGACCAUCUUGGGGUGGGUGGAGAUCCCUACCAGCACAGCUUCGAUGUCUGUGACACCCAGAAGGCACAGGACUGAAACGUGCUUAAUUUCUAAUGACUGGGACACACAGAAAAAGAUGAAUCCAGAGGCCAACAGCAGAGAAGCAGGCUGGGCUGGCAUUUUCAGUGGCCAGCCCUCCCUCUAGCCCAGCUGGCUCUGUCUGGUGCCAGCUGACCACCAUUCCUGUGGCCUGCAGUUACAGGAAGAGACUUCCCAGGACCUUAUACCAUGGCCUAAGUCUCCUUCCAUCUAAGCAACAAAAAACGUGGCCUACCCUUCUUAGGAGGAAAAAAUAUGCUCUGACUAUAUGAGUAAUACCAACAGCACUUUGAAAGGCUGAGGUGGAAGGAUUGCUUGAGCCCUGGAAUUUGAGACCAGCCUGGGCAACAUAGCGAGACCCCAUCUCUACAAAUAAUAAUUUAAAAAUUAGGUGAUGUGCACCUGGUGGUCUCAGCUACUUGGGAGACUGAGGUUGGGGGAUUACUUGAGCCUGGGAGGUCAAGGUGAGCCAUGAUUGUGCCACUGCAUUCCAGUCUGGGUGACAGAGCAAGACCCUGUCUCAAAAAAAAAAUAAAAAAAAUAAAGGAA